CAAGUCGAACGCACUCUCGUUUAGAUUGAAGGAGCUUGCUCCUGAUUGAUAAACAUUUGAGUGAGUGGCGGACGGGUGAGUAACACGUGGGUAACCUGCCCUAAAGUGGGGGAUAACAUUUGGAAACAGAUGCUAAUACCGCAUAAAACCUAACACCGCAUGGUGUAGGGUUGAAAGAUGGUUUCGGCUAUCACUUUAGGAUGGACCCGCGGUGCAUUAGUUAGUUGGUGAGGUAAAGGCUCACCAAGACCGUGAUGCACAGCCGACCUGAGAGGGUAAUCGGCCACACUGGGACUGAGACACGGCCCAGACUCCUACGGGAGGCAGCAGUAGGGAAUCUUCCACGAUGGACGAAAGUCUGAUGGAGCAACGCCGCGUGAGUGAAGAAGGUUUUCGGAUCGUAAAACUCCGUUGUUGGAGAAGAAUGUAUCUGAUAGUAACUGAUCAGGUAGUGACGGUAUCCAACCAGAAAGCCACGGCUAACUACGUGCCAGCAGCCGCGGUAAUACGUAGGUGGCAAGCGUUGUCCGGAUUUAUUGGGCGUAAAGCGAGCGCAGGCGGUUUCUUAAGUCUGAUGUGAAAGCCUUCGGCUCAACCGAAGAAGUGCAUCGGAAACUGGGAAACUUGAGUGCAGAAGAGGACAGUGGAACUCCAUGUGUAGCGGUGAAAUGCGUAGAUAUAUGGAAGAACACCAGUGGCGAAGGCGGCUGUCUGGUCUGUAACUGACGCUGAGG
rnacentral:rRNA from 1 species